UGGGGAAUAUUGCACAAUGGGCGCAAGCCUGAUGCAGCAACGCCGCGUGAACGAUGAAUGUCUUCGGAUCGUAAAGUUCUGUUGCAGGGGAAGAUAAUGACGGUACCCUGUGAGGAAGCCCCGGCUAACUACGUGCCAGCAGCCGCGGUAAUACGUAGGGGGCUAGCGUUAUCCGGAUUUACUGGGCGUAAAGGGUGCGUAGGUGGUCUUUCAAGUCGGUGGUUAAAGGCUACGGCUCAACCGUAGUUAGCCUCCGAAACUGGAAGACUUGAGUGCAGGAGAGGAAAGUGGAAUUUCCAGUGUAGCGGUGAAAUGCGUAGAUAUUGGGAGGAAAACCAGUAGCGAAGGCGGCUUUCUGGACUGCAACUGACACUGAGGCACGAAAGCGUGGGUAGCAAACAGG
rnacentral:rRNA from 1 species